rnacentral:rRNA from 1 species
ACCCGCUGAACUUAAGCAUAUCAUUAAGCGGAGGAAAAGAAACUAACUAGGAUGGCCUCAGUAAUGGCGAAUGAAGCGGCCAGAGCCCAGAAUGGAAAUCAACGCCCAGCGGGCGGUGAAUUGUAAUCUGUAGGAGGUUGGCUCAAAAGGCAGCGACGCAGAAGUGCCCGCGAGAGGGCCGCCAGAGAGGGUGACAGCCCCGUACGUGGUGUCGUAGUCUAACGAGCUGGCUUUCGGAGAGUCGCGUUCUUUUGUAAUGGAGCGCUAAGCGGGAGAUAAACUUCUUCUAAGGCUAAAUAUACGUGGGAAACCGAUAGCGAACAAGUACUGUGAAGGAAAGAUGAAAAGCACUUUGGAAAGAGAGUCAAAAGACUUGAAACCGUCUAGGAGGAAGUGGUAGAAUUUAAUUAUCGGCUGUGGGACUGUAAGGCGCUUCGGCACCGAGGAUGUCCCGCGGAGUGAGGCCUGGAGGGGUCGCAUCGCCACAGAAAGCCAGCGUUCGGUCUUUUCGGAGAAAGAGCGAGGGGUCAGUGGGGAAGCGGCCUGAGGGUGCUUUGUGCGUCCAGGCCAAAAUGGAUUUUACCGCCCCGUCUUGAAACACGGACCAAGGAGUCUAGUAUGCGCGCGAGUCUGAGGGUGGAGAAACCCUUGGGCGCAAUGAAGGUGAGCGAUGCCAAGAUUCAGCAGCAUCGGCCGACCAUGAUCCUCUGGUGAAAGGUUUGAGCAAGAGCGCGCCUGUUAGGACCCGAAAGAUGGUGAACUAUGCCUGAGUAGGGUGAAGUCAGGGGAAACUCUGAUGGAAGCUCGUAGCGAUACUGACGUGCAAAUCGUUCGUCGAACUUGGGUAUAGGGGCGAAAGACUAAUCGAACCAUCUAGUAGCUGGUUCCCUCCGAAGUUUCCCUCAGGAUAGCUGGGACAACUACGCAGUUUUAUUAGGUAAAGCGAAUGAUUAGAGGCAUCGGUGGCGAAAUGCUGUCGACCUAUUCUCAAACUUUAAAUUGGUAAGAACCCGAGCCUAUCUUAAAUGAGGCAUCGGGGCUCAAUGCGUGUCCUUAGUGGGCCAUUUUUGGUAAGCAGAACUGGCGAUGAGGGAUGCUCCUAACGUCUGGUUAAGGUGCCAAACUGCGCGCUCAUCAGAAACUACAAAGGGUGUUGGUUCAUCUAGACAGCAGGACGGUGGCCAUGGAAGUUGGAACCCGCUAAGGAGUGUGUAACAACUCACCUGCCGAAUGAACCAGUCCCGAAAAUGGAUGGCGCUUAAGCGCGUGACCGAUACCAGACCAUUGGCGCGAGAGUGAGGUGUCAAUGAGUAGGAGGGCGUGGGCAUCGGUGUGAAGCCUUUGGCGUGAGCCUGGGUAGACCGGUGUCUAGUGCAGAUCUUGGUGGUAGUAGCAAUUAUUCAAAUGAGAACUUUGAAGGCCGAAGUGGAGAAAGUUUCCGUGAGAACAGCAAUUGGUCACGGGUGACUCGAUCCUAAGACAUGGGGGAAGUCCCUGUUAAGUGUGCGCUAGCACGUAGUCGAAAGGGAAUCAGGUUAAUAUUCCUGAAGCCGGCCGUGGGUGUUGUGUGGCAACACAAGUGAGCUCUGAGACGCCAGCGCGGGCCUCCGGGAGAGUUAUCUUUUCUUUUUAACAGGCUAGUGACCCUGGAAUUGGAUUAACCAGAGAUAGGGUUGCAUGCUUGGAAGAGCCCCCUGCUUUUCGGGGGGUCGGGUGCGUUCGCGAUGGUCCAUGAAAAUCAGGGUGAGAUAGUUUCACGCCGGGUCGUACUCACAACCGC